rnacentral:rRNA from 1 species
UAGGUGUGGGGGACAUUCCACGUUUUCCGCGCCGUAGCUAACGCAUUAAGUGCCCCGCCUGGGGAGUACGGCCGCAAGGCUAAAACUCAAAGGAAUUGACGGGGGCCCGCACAAGCGGCGGAGCAUGCGGAUUAAUUCGAUGCAACGCGAAGAACCUUACCAAGGCUUGACAUGAACCGGAAAGACCUGGAAACAGGUGCCCCGCUUGCGGUCGGUUUACAGGUGGUGCAUGGUUGUCGUCAGCUCGUGUCGUGAGAUGUUGGGUUAAGUCCCGCAACGAGCGCAACCCUCGUUCUAUGUUGCCAGCGCGUGAUGGCGGGGACUCAUAGGAGACUGCCGGGGUCAACUCGGAGGAAGGUGGGGACGACGUCAAAUCAUCAUGCCCCUUAUGUCUUGGGCUUCACGCAUGCUACAAUGGCCGGUACAAAGGGUUGCGAUACUGUGAGGUGGAGCUAAUCCCAAAAAGCCGGUCUCAGUUCGGAUUGGGGUCUGCAACUCGACCCCAUGAAGUCGGAGUCGCUAGUAAUCGCAGAUCAGCAACGCUGCGGUGAAUACGUUCCCGGGCCUUGUACACACCGCCCGUCAAGUCACGAAAGUUGGUAACACCCGAAGCCGGUGGCCUAACCCUUGUGGGGGGAGCCGUCGAAGGUGGGACCGGCGAUUGGGACU